GACGAACGCUGGCGGCGUGCUUAACACAUGCAAGUCGAACGAUGAAGAAAAGAAUCGAAGCUUCGGCAGAAAUUCAUUUCGGAUUAGUGGCAGACGGGUGAGUAACGCGUGAGCAACCUACCUCUUACAAAGGGAUAGCCUCGGGAAACCGGGAUUAAUACCAUAUAACAUUGCGACGAAGCAUUUCGAUGCAAUCAAAGCUACGGCGGUAAGAGAUGGGCUCGCGUCCCAUUAACCGGAUGGUGAGGUAACGGCUCACCAUAGUGACGAUGGGUAACCGGCCUGAGAAGGUGAACGGUCACACUGGAACUGAGACACGGUCCAGACUCCUACGGGAGGCAGCAGUGGGGAAUAUUGCACAAUGGAGGGAACUCUGAUGCAGCGACGCCGCGUGAGUGAUGAAGGAAUUCGUUUCGUAAAACUCUGUUCUAUGGGAAGAAAAGGACUGUACCAUAGGAGAAAGCUCCGGCUAAAUACGUG
rnacentral:rRNA from 1 species